rnacentral:sRNA from 1 species
GCUGGGUGUGGUGGUGCUCACCUGUAAUCCCAGUGGCUCUGGAGGCUAAGGCAGGAGGAUCAUGCAACAGGGAUGCACUAAGCAGCUCAGUGAGACCCUGUCUCUA